UGGGGAAUUUUGGACAAUGGGGGCAACCCUGAUCCAGCAAUGCCGCGUGUGUGAAGAAGGCCUUCGGGUUGUAAAGCACUUUUGUCCUGGAAGAAAUCGCACCUGAUAAUACCGGGUGUGGAUGACGGUACCGGAAGAAUAAGGACCGGCUAACUACGUGCCAGCAGCCGCGGUAAUACGUAGGGUCCAAGCGUUAAUCGGAAUUACUGGGCGUAAAGCGUGCGCAGGCGGUUGUGCAAGACCGAUGUGAAAUCCCCGGGCUUAACCUGGGAAUUGCAUUGGUGACUGCACGGCUAGAGUGUGUCAGAGGGGGGUAGAAUUCCACGUGUAGCAGUGAAAUGCGUAGAGAUGUGGAGGAAUACCGAUGGCGAAGGCAGCCCCCUGGGAUAACACUGACGCUCAUGCACGAAAGCGUGGGGAGCAAACA
rnacentral:rRNA from 1 species